CCUAUAUACAACUCGGUCACCAUGGGGAUGGGCUGGGGCCUUUUCCUGUUGGUCCAGACCCCUCAAUCUGCCCAGAGGAGCCACGACAGAAGAGUGGUGAUUGGUGCAAGCGACAUGGGAUGAGGUUCAGCACUGAUCAAUGUAUUGAGUGAAUUGACUCUUGCUAAGUAUGGCCUUUAAGGAAUAUCUACUGUAUCCCCUUGGCCAGAUCUUAAUGUUAAAAGUUUAGUUCAGUGGCGUUAAGUGUAUUCACAUGGGUGCAAAUACAUCACGGUUAUCCAUCUCCAGAAGGAUGAUUAAAUCACACUGUAGAAAUUCAAUACCUCCAAGAUGUCAGAGAGCAGAAAGAAUUAUAUAUGGACAACUGUUGAAGAGGUUGCUAAAGUACGCCAGCCAGAGGUCAAGAGUCCCCUUCUGCCCCCGUGACUCUCAGACACUUGCUGAUCUUCUUGUAAAUGCUCUUCCUAACGCCGUCUAAAAUCUUUGCUUUGUUGGACCAACCCUACAUUCUUAAUCUCUACAGAAUAUACCCUUCUCUUCCUUGCCUUACUAAAAUUUGGUUUUUUGUUUUGUUUUGUUUUCUUCUCUCAAGAUUUCACUUCUACUGACCCCCUUGAGCAGAGGUAAUUGAUCAUCCCACUGGACUAGAACUAAUCCACUUAAAAACCAUUUUUAGCCACCUCCCUCUUCCUUUGAGGACCAUCCAACCCUCCCCCUCAUCUUCCAGGCUUCACUUAUUCUUCCCUCUUCGAACUGUACUCUACUGAAUGUUUUUUGGCAAUUAUCAUUUAGAUGCUAAAUCCAACAGGUUUCAUGUUUUAACUUGGGACAUUUGAUUCUAUUGACCCAUUGUUUCUUCACAGAUUCUCCAGAAAUUAUUUCUUCCUGUUUCUCCUUAUAUGUCUCUGGCCAUUCUCUCAAUCUCUUGUGCAAAUUCUUCCUAUCCCCACUUCUUAAAUAUAAGUAUGCCUUGGGCUUCUUCCUCUGCCAUCUUCCCUUCUCACCUGCCAUGCUCCUUCAAUGCUUUGAAUCAUCACCCAAGUGCUGGUGAGCUGACAGCUCACAAAUCCAUACCAUCAGCCCCAGGUGCUCUCCUGAGUUUUAAAAAUCUGUGUGUCCAAUUGCCUACUAUGCAGCGCUGAGUUGAUGUUUCACUGAAAGUCCAAUUCUGCAUCCCUGAAAGAGUAAACUCUUUCCUAUCUCCCCACCCACCCAAGCAAAAAACUGGAAGUCACUUCAGUUCUUCUGUUUCACUAACCACUUAUAAUCAGUCACUGAGUACUGUUCAUUCUGCCUGUUUAGUAUCUCUCAUAGCUUUCUCUCCUUUUUCAUUAUAAUUUCUUUAAUUUAGCAUCUCAUUGUUUAUUUGCCAAAUUGUGUCCAACUCUUUUGUGACCCCAUGGAUGGUAGCCUGCCAACCUCCUCUGUCCGUGGGAUUUUCCAGGCAAGUAUACUGGAGUGGGUUGCCAUUUCCUUCUCCAGGGGAUCUUCCCAACCCAGAGAUCAAACCCACAUCUCCUGCAUUGGCAGGUGGGUUCUUUACCACUGGGCCACCUGGGAAGCCUUACCAUCUCAUGAUCCUUUACCAAAAUGUUACCUUUUUAUUUUGAAGAUUGUCAGAUAUACAUGGAGUAUAAUAAAACCCUACAUAUGCAUCAUCUGAGCUGAAUAAUUAUUAACUUUCUGCCAUAGCUACUUCAUCUAUUAUUUGUACCGUGUUUUAGAGCAAAUCCAGACAUCAUGAUAUGUCACUCAUAAACAUUUCAGUAUGCUGUUGUAUUACAUUACCACAGUAGCAUUUUCACACCUAACCAAGUUAACAAGAAUGCCUUAAUAUUAUCUAAUACUAUGUUU